rnacentral:rRNA from 1 species
AACGAACGCUGGCGGCAUGCCUAACACAUGCAAGUCGAACGAACCCUUCGGGGUUAGUGGCGCACGGGUGCGUAAUGCGUGGGAAUCUGCCCUUUGCUUCGGAAUAACUCAGGGAAACUUGUGCUAAUACCGGAUGAUGUCUUCGGACCAAAGAUUUAUCGGCAAGGGAUGAGCCCGCGUAGGAUUAGGUAGUUGGUGGGGUAAAGGCCUACCAAGCCGACGAUCCUUAGCUGGUCUGAGAGGAUGAUCAGCCACACUGGGACUGAGACACGGCCCAGACUCCUACGGGAGGCAGCAGUGGGGAAUAUUGGACAAUGGGCGCAAGCCUGAUCCAGCAAUGCCGCGUGAGUGAUGAAGGCCCUCGGGUCGUAAAGCUCUUUUACCAGGGAUGAUAAUGACAGUACCUGGAGAAUAAGCUCCGGCUAACUCCGUG